rnacentral:rRNA from 1 species
UACGUAGGGUGCAAGCGUUAAUCGGAAUUACUGGGCGUAAAGCGUGCGCAGGCGGCUUUGCAAGACAGAUGUGAAAUCCCCGGGCUUAACCUGGGAACUGCAUUUGUGACUGCAUGGCUGGAGUGCGGCAGAGGGGGAUGGAAUUCCGCGUGUAGCAGUGAAAUGCGUAGAUAUGCGGAGGAACACCCGUGGCGAAGGCGGCUCUCUGGGGCGGUACUGACGCUGAGACGCGAAAGCGUGGGGAGCGAACAGG